UACGUAGGGUGCAAGCGUUGUCCGGACUUAUUGGGCGUAAAGAGCUCGUAGGCGGUUCGUCGCGUCGGCUGUGAAAACCCGAGGCUCAACUUCGGGCCUGCAGUCGAUACGGGCGGACUGGAGUUCGGCAGGGGAGACUGGAAUUCCUGGUGUAGCGGUGAAAUGCGCAGAUAUCAGGAGGAACACCGGUGGCGAAGGCGGGUCUCUGGGCCGAUACUGACGCUGAGGAGCGAAAGCGUGGGGAGCGAACAGG
rnacentral:rRNA from 1 species